ACAGGUGAAGUUUUAUUAUCUAUCCUGGUAGAAUAAUCCAAAGAAGAUACGUUUUACCCACCAAUUUAUAUGCCUAACUGUGCUGCUAUUGUUACUAUUUUCUUAAUGGAUGCUCCUAAAAUUGUUUCGGUGCUCUUCUACCAAGAUUGACCAAAUGAGUGUUCUGCUAAAGUAAAAGUCAUAAGACUGAAAUAACAUGGGUCAGCCUUUGUACGUCUGCCAGUGCUACAAAUUAUUUGAAUGAUAUGUCUGCCAGUGCUGCAAAUUAUUUGAAUGAAAGAUCUAAAAAUACACAGCACAUCUUAUGUCCACAGUUGUGAUGAUGAUAGGUGCAGAGUUUUGGCCUGUUCAUUACAUUAAUUUGAAAGCUUGUGUUCUUUUGAGCUUACAUUAUGUAGCAUCUCUACUGUAGGUUUGUAAGUAGCUUUCUCCUUUAUCUGAUGGAAAUCAUAAUUGUUUUACAGGAAGUGAAGACGACCAGUCAUCGCGCCAUAUUCCCGUGAGCUCCAUUCAUAUUACUAUAUGCUUAAAACAUCGUGCUCUCCUUCUCUACAUCAUGUGGUUUGGUAUCAAACUCUCAAAAAGGAAAAACAACUUUACUCUGUUUUUUGGAGAACCUUCCUGUAGAGUACCUUGACAGAGACAAAUAUGCGAUCAAGGAUACAUUUGAUGGAUUUUCACGCAAAACUUGGAGGAUAUUUUUUGCAGGUUCGUUGCUUGCUUUAUUGUUUUCUUACUUUCCGUUCUUCAAGACAAUAUCUUCCUAGCAUUGCUCUAUAAAUUUAAAUCCAUCUUUUUGUUCUUUGGAUUAUCAUGGCGUACUCGUCCUGUCUAAUCCAAGAAAGGGCCUUCAUGUUUGCAGAUAGUUUGGUGCUCUCAUGGUUAUUUUAUAGUGAUUUUUCUUCUGUUCAUUACUUGGUAACCAUCUACUGCAGCUUAGCUAUUGUCCAGUUGCUGACCUUAUGGUGAGUGAUUGAUGGUGCAUGUUUUCCUAUUAGUUUCUUUCUAUGCCAAUGUCUGAAUUUUAUCUUGCCGUUUUGCAUUUCUCCAGGCCUUUCAUUCUCACUGUGAUUCCCCGAGUUGCGCUAUUAGUAGGCAUCCACUUUCUAAUAAAAAAUUGGCAGUCAACUUGAACGAGUCAUUUAUCUAGCUACAGCAACCUUCCUUGCUUUUGCAGUCAACUUGAACGAGUCUAUACCUGCCAAAUAUUUACACGUUAGUAUAGCCAGAAAGUCAGAUGAUCGUUCCAUGUUGGUUAGCCGUGAUAAAUCAAAUUUCUAGAGUAGCAGAUGAUUCGUGUCAGGUUUCCUUUAGAGAUUGAAAUAUGUCUUGACUCUAAAAUAAGUAGUACAGAGUCCAGUUCUGCAUAGGUGAAAGCAUACUAUCUAAAACUGGACGGCCUUCUAAAGCUCUGAAACUACUAUUUGUUGUGUAAUCUGUAUCCCCUUUUCAUACUCUAUAUAUGCUUUCUACUUACUAGGAAAAAAUGCGUGAGAGCGAUGUCUUGAGGAUGCGAAUUGCACUCAAAUAUAUGCAGGUUUCUUGCCAAAUUAACUGCCACUAUUUUAUUUCAGGUGCUUCUUCUGUAACUUAGUGUAUUUCGCUGGCUCUUCUCAUUUCCUGGCGAACUUUUUAGUCUGUACAGUCGAAUCGUUGGAAGUUGUUUUCUACUAUCUAUAGAGGUUUUAUCCAAGCUAUUAGCUGCCUGACUUGCUUUUUUGAAGUACGCCAUCCUGAUAGACCAAGUGGACCCACACAUUUCCAUGGGAUUUUAGAAAAAUAUAUGUGAAUUUGCAUACAUUUUCUAAAUUUCUAUCUUUUCUUAUCCAUGCUUCCGCAUAGAUAUAUAGCAGGCUUAACAAAAAUGAAUGUCUGAUUGUGUUCAAAUUUCAAGGAAGUGUGCUUCAUGCUUCUCUUUCUGCAAUAUGUUUCAGAGUAUAUGACUUAAUUUUCCUACUUUCCCAGUUACAAUACUGUGUACUUCAUUCUUAGCUUUGCUUUGGGAAAAAUAGGUAUGCAGGUUAUCGAAAGCUCCAUUUUUCUCCAUUAUAUAGAUCAUAUAGCUUUGUGAUCGAAGGUAGGUUGUCACAUAUGGGAUGUUGCUUGUGAAAGUUAUAUACAGCCAUGAGUCCCUGACAAAAUAAUCGCAGCUCAUGUUACUAGGAUCAGGGAACCUCGACCAUUUUUCUGAAACAUGUCGCAGCUCAUGUUCCUACUUUCCCAGCUACACUAUUAUGUACUUCAUUCUUACCUUCGCUUUUGGAAGUUACAUUGCUUUCUUUUCCCUCAUAAACUUGCUAACGAUAUUGGCGAAGUAAUCCCCACUUCAGAUUUCCCAUUGAAUAAAUAACUAAUUUAGUUUGUUGAAAAAUUGUAGGUCAAGAUCCAUGAAUAGGAGCAAGGCAUCACACCAGCUCUGAGAAGAAAAGGAUAUGAAGACAAAGAUAGACCAGUGUUCUGCUCCGAAGCAAAAACAUUUUGCGUGUAAUAAUGAACUGUAAUUUACCACAAUCUCUCUACAACAGGCCUACCUAUUACCAGUCCGUUGCUUGCUUUUGUAUUAGGAAGUAUGACCCAGUCAUAUAUAUUUACAUUCACGUUGUUUAGU